rnacentral:rRNA from 1 species
CUUUUACGGAGAGUUUGAUCCUGGCUCAGGACGAACGCUGGCGGCGUGCUUAACACAUGCAAGUCGAACGGUGAAGCCCUUCGGGGUGGAUCAGUGGCGAACGGGUGAGUAACACGUGAGCAACCUGCCCUCCACUUCGGGAUAAGCCUUGGAAACGGGGUCUAAUACCGGGUAUGAGCGUCUGCCGCAUGGUGGGCGUUGGAAAGUUUUUCGGUGGGGGAUGGGCUCGCGGCCUAUCAGCUUGUUGGUGGGGUGAUGGCCUACCAAGGCUUCGACGGGUAGCCGGCCUGAGAGGGCGACCGGCCACACUGGGACUGAGACACGGCCCAGACUCCUACGGGAGGCAGCAGUGGGGAAUAUUGCACAAUGGGCGAAAGCCUGAUGCAGCGACGCCGCGUGAGGGAUGACGGCCUUCGGGUUGUAAACCUCUUUCAGCAGGGAAGAAGCGCAAGUGACGGUACCUGCAGAAGAAGCGCCGGCUAACUACGUGCCAGCAGCCGCGGUAAUACGUAGGGCGCAAGCGUUGUCCGGAAUUAUUGGGCGUAAAGAGCUCGUAGGCGGUCUGUCGCGUCUGGUGUGAAAUCCCGAGGCUCAACCUCGGGCUUGCAUCGGGUACGGGCGGACUAGAGUGCUGUAGGGGAGACUGGAAUUCCUGGUGUAGCGGUGGAAUGCGCAGAUAUCAGGAGGAACACCGAUGGCGAAGGCAGGUCUCUGGGCAGUCACUGACGCUGAGGAGCGAAAGCAUGGGGAGCGAACAGGAUUAGAUACCCUGGUAGUCCAUGCCGUAAACGUUGGGCACUAGGUGUGGGGGCCAUUCCACGGUUCCCGUGCCGCAGCUAACGCAUUAAGUGCCCCGCCUGGGGAGUACGGCCGCAAGGCUAAAACUCAAAGGAAUUGACGGGGGCCCGCACAAGCGGCGGAGCAUGCGGAUUAAUUCGAUGCAACGCGAAGAACCUUACCAAGGCUUGACAUGCGCCGGACAGCGUCAGAGAUGGCGUCUCCGCAAGGUCGGCGCACAGGUGGUGCAUGGUUGUCGUCAGCUCGUGUCGUGAGAUGUUGGGUUAAGUCCCGCAACGAGCGCAACCCUCGUCCCAUGUUGCCAGCGGGUUAUGCCGGGGACUCAUGGGAGACUGCCGGGGUCAACUCGGAGGAAGGUGGGGAUGACGUCAAAUCAUCAUGCCCCUUAUGUCUUGGGCUUCACGCAUGCUACAAUGGCCGGUACAGAGGGCUGCGAUGCCGUAAGGCGGAGCGAAUCCCAAAAAGCCGGUCUCAGUUCGGAUUGGGGUCUGCAACUCGACCCCAUGAAGUCGGAGUCGCUAGUAAUCGCAGAUCAGCAACGCUGCGGUGAAUACGUUCCCGGGCCUUGUACACACCGCCCGUCAAGUCACGAAAGUUGGUAACACCCGAAGCCCAUGGCCCAACCACCUUGUGUGGGGGGAGUGGUCGAAGGUGGGACUGGCGAUUGGGACUAAGUCGUAACAAGGUAGCCGUACCGGAAGGUGCGGCUGGAUCACCUCCUUUCU